CCUACGGGUGACAGCAGUGAGGAAUAUUGGUCAAUGGUCGGGAGACUGAACCAGCCAAGCCGCGUGAGGGAUGAAGGUACAGAGUAUCGUAAACCUCUUUUGUCAGGGAACAAAGGCGGGGACGUGUCCCCGGCUGAGUGUACCUGAAGAAAAAGCAUCGGCUAACUCCGUGCCAUCAGCCGCGGUAAGACGGAGGCUGCGAGCGUUAUCCGGAUUUAUUGGGUUUAAGGGGUGGGCAGGCGGUGUGUUAAGUCAGCGGCAAAAGCCCGGGGCUAAACCCAGGCCCGCCGUUGAAAGUGGCAGUCUCGAGUUGGAGAGAAGUAUGCGGAAUGCGCGGUGUAGCGGUGAAAUGCAUAGAUA
rnacentral:rRNA from 1 species